GUCCACUUGCCAUGGGCUCCCAAUUACAGGCAUGAGCCACCAUGCCUGGCUGACAUGGUCCUUAUUCUUAAGGCAUGGCUUUCUGAUGUCUUAACUGGAUCUCCAGGUGUUAACAAGGCCUCUACACUCUGACUGAGCAAGAACUCCAGUAUCUUCUAGCACUACUUGACUUCUAGUAUUUUUGCUCCACUCUCAACCUCAUAACAGCCCUUCCUGAACAGUCCUUAGAGGUAAAGUGGACACUUCAUCUGCCUUACCAGUGCCCAUGCACGUCCUCAUCUUCCUUACCAAGAGAACCCAGAACUGGUUCAGAGAUCCAGGCCUCCCACCUCAGGUGACUCCACCCUCAGACUGAUCUGAGGAUAAUCCCAUUCCCCCUAACAAUGGGAAGGGCCAUGUGAACCAAUUCUGGCCAAUGAGAGAGGGAAAAGAGUCUGUUAGGAAACUUAGGGAAAACCUCUCCUCUCUUCUAAGAGACUCAUAAGAAGAGAGCUUCUCUUCCUCCUCUGGACGCUGUCCUGUGUGUAGCACUCAGGACUGCUGAAGACAUCUAGGUAACAGCUUGAAGGUGAAACCAGCACUGAGGUUUCCUGAUUCCUGGGUGGAGCGCAGACUGGAGCCUAAGCCCUGACAGCAUGGGACUUGCAGCUCAAGUAUAUCUGUGCUUCACUGGAAGAGUUGAAAGAGCUGGAGACUGUCUGUGAUCAAUGAGCCCCUGUCACUCUCAUGACACUUUCCUGAACCAUUUCACCAGCACUCAGGCAGAAGAGGAGGACAGCAGGUGAAGUCAGAGAGAUUCAAAGCACAAGGAUUCAACUUUCUGUUGCUGGCCUUGAAGAUGCAGGAGGCCAUGAGCCAAGGAAUGCAAGCAGCCUCUGGAAGUUGAAAACGACCUAAGUGCUCAGUCCUACAGCUGCAUGGAACUGAAAUCUGCCAACACCCUGAGUGAUCCGGAAGUGGAUUUUCUCCCAAAGCCUCCUGAUAGGAGCCCCAGCCAGCUGACAGAUUGACUUCAGCACUAUGACAUCAAAGAGCCCACCCAAGGCUGUUACUGGAAGGAGGGCCUUGAGUGUAAGUUAUUCAGUUUCUUGGCGUUUUGAACAAAGACUUGGACAAAACACACAAAGUAACAAAGGACUGAAACAUAGGAACGAAGUAGGGAAAGCAGGAAUGUAUUAAAGUGAAAAAGGACCCCACAGGGUGGGAGUCGGCCCAAGCAGGUGGCUCAAGGGCCCAGUUGCAAAGUUUUCUGGGUUUUAAGUUCUCCUGUUCAGAUUCCUAUUGGCUACCCUUUAUCUGGAUGAAGAAUUUGGCCUGUGGCUAAUUAAAGGAUGAAGUGAAUUGGUGUCCUAUGCGAUGAAGGGAUGGUCCCUGCUUGGUCCUCGGCCCAUCGAAGGCACUCUCCCUGUCCAUCUGAGACAUUGAGUAGCCUUUGCUCCUUUGCUACUCUGGAGCGGGGAGGUGGGGUUUUUCCUUUUGGUUUAGCUUUAGGAAGUUGGUUUAAUUGGCCUUAGCUUCCCUGACCGUAGACCCAGGUGCUAUCCUUUUGAUUCAGCUUUAGGAAGUCAGCACGAAUUGGCCUCAGAUUCCGUGUCCCCACACCUUGGUGUUU